AUUGAACGCUGGCGGCAUGCCUUACACAUGCAAGUCGAACGGUAACAGGUUAAGCUGACGAGUGGCGAACGGGUGAGUAAUGUAUCGGAACGUGCCCAGUCGUGGGGGAUAACGUAGCGAAAGCUACGCUAAUACCGCAUCCGAUCUACGGAUGAAAGCGGGGGAUCGCAAGCCCUCGCGCGAGUGGAGCGGCCGAUAUCAGAUUAGGUUGUUGGGGAGGUAAAAGCCCACCAAGCCUGCGAUCUGUAGCGGGUCUGAGAGGACGACCAGCCACACUGGAACUGAGACACGGUCCAGACUCCUACGGGAGACAGCAGUGGGGAAUUUUGGACAAUGGACGCAAGUCUGAUCCAGCAAUGCCGCGUGCAGGACGAAGGCCUUCGGGUUGUAAACUGCUUUUGUACGGAACGAAACGGUGAGCUCUAAUACAGUUUGCUAAUGACGGUACCGUAAGAAUAAGCACCGGCUAACUACGUGCCAGCCGCCGCCGUAA
rnacentral:rRNA from 1 species